rnacentral:rRNA from 1 species
AGUGAACGCUGGCGGUAGGCCUAACACAUGCAAGUCGAACGGCAGCACAGUAAGAGCUUGCUCUUACGGGUGGCGAGUGGCGGACGGGUGAGGAAUACAUCGGAAUCUACUUUUUCGUGGGGGAUAACGUAGGGAAACUUACGCUAAUACCGCAUACGACCUACGGGUGAAAGCAGGGGAUCUUCGGACCUUGCGCGAUUGAAUGAGCCGAUGUCGGAUUAGCUAGUGGCGGGGUAAAGGCCCACCAAGGCGACGAUCCGUAGCUGGUCUGAGAGGAUGAGCAGCCACACUGGAACUGAGACACGGUCCAGACUCCUACGGGAGGCAGCAGUGGGGAAUAUUGGACAAUGGGCGCAAGCCUGAUCCAGCCAUACCGCGUGGGUGAAGAAGGCCUUCGGGUUGUAAAGCCCUUUUGUUGGGAAAGAAAAGCAGCAGGUUAAUACCCCGCUGUUCUGACGGUACCCAAAGAAUAAGCACCGGCUAACUUCGUG